GACGAACGCUGGCGGCGUGCUUAACACAUGCAAGUCGAGCGGAAAGGCCUGCUUUCCCUUGUGGAUUGCGGGUACUCGAGUGGCGAACGGGUGAGUAACACGUGAGUGAUCUGCCCCCAACUUGGGUAUAAGCCUGGGAAACUGGGUCUAAUUCCCGAUAGGACUGCAGGGUGGUGCCUGUGGUGGAAAACGAUUUUCUAGUGGUUGGGGAUGAGCUCGCGGCCUAUCAGCUUGUUGGUGGGGUAAUGGCCUACCAAGGCGGCGACGGGUAGCCGGCCUGAGAGGGUGGACGGCCACAUUGGGACUGAGAUACGGCCCAGACGCCUACGGGAGGCAGCAGUGGGGAAUAUUGCACAAUGGGCGGAAGCCUGAUGCAGCGACGCCGCGUGGGGGAUGACGGCCUUCGGGUUGUAAACUCCUUUCGACCGCGAGGAAGCCACCUGGUUGGAAGGGUGGUGACGGUAGUGGUAGAAGAAGCACCGGCUAACUACGUG
rnacentral:rRNA from 1 species